UACGUAGGGUGCAAGCGUUGUUCGGAAUCACUGGGCGUAAAGCGCACGUAGGCGGAUCUUUAAGUCAGGGGUGAAAUCCCGAGGCUCAACCUCGGAACUCGCCUUGAUACUGGGAUCUCGAGUUCGGGAGAGGUGAGUGGAACUGCGAGUGUAGAGGUGAAAUUCGUAGAUAUUCGCAAGACACCAGUGGCGAAGGCGGCUCACUGGCCCGAUACUGACGCUGAGUGCGAAAGCGU
rnacentral:rRNA from 1 species